rnacentral:rRNA from 1 species
CACAAGCGGUGGAGCAUGUGGUUAAUUCGAUGCAACGCGAAGAACCUUACCAGGUCUUGACAUCCCGAUGCUAUUUCUAGAGAUAGAAAGUUACUUCGGUACAUCGGUGACAGGUGGUGCAUGGUUGUCGUCAGCUCGUGUCGUGAGAUGUUGGGUUAAGUCCCGCAACGAGCGCAACCCCUAUUGUUAGUUGCCAUCAUUCAGUUGGGCACUCUAGCGAGACUGCCGGUAAUAAACCGGAGGAAGUGGGGAUGACGUCAAAUCAUCAUGCCCCUUAUGACCUGGGCUACACACGUGCUACAAUGGUUGGUACAACGAGUUGCGAGUCGGUGACGGCGAGCUAAUCUCUUAAAGCCAAUCUCAGUUCGGAUUGUAGGCUGCAACUCGCCUACAUGAAGUCGGAAUCGCUAGUAAUCGCGGAUCAGCACGCCGCGGUGAAUACGUUCCCGGGUCUU